rnacentral:rRNA from 1 species
UAGGGAAUCUUCGGCAAUGGGGGGAACCCUGACCGAGCAACGCCGCGUGAGUGAAGAAGGUUUUCGGAUCGUAAAGCUCUGUUGUUAAGGAAGAACGAGUGUGAGAAUGUAAAGUUCAUGCUGUGACGGUACUUAACCAGAAAGGGACGGCUAACUACGUGCCAGCAGCCGCGGUAAUACGUAGGUCCCGAGCGUUGUCCGGAUUUAUUGGGCGUAAAGCGAGCGCAGGCGGUUAGAUAAGUCUGAAGUUAAAGGCAGUGGCUCAACCAUUGUAGGCUUUGGAAACUGUUUAACUUGAGUGCAGAAGGGGAGAGUGGAAUUCCAUGUGUAGCGGUGAAAUGCGUAGAUAUAUGGAGGAACACCGGUGGCGAAAGCGGCUCUCUGGUCUGUAACUGACGCUGAGGCUCGAAAGCGUGGGGAGCGAACAGG